CACAGUGCAGUGCACGUCCUCAAGCAAAAGCACCAUGUAAAGGCUGCCUCUGAACAGUGGAAGGUGCACUUCAUGGACCUCAACUGUGUCUGUCUGUCAGGUGGAUGUAGCCCUGCAGUCCUUUUCUACAAAAGGUAUAGCAGUGUGGUAACACACUGACUGUGUCAUAUCCAGGGUACAGCUGUACACAAUUAACAG